ACGCUCGACACCUACGGGAGGCAGCAGUUGGGAAUAUUGGACAAUGGAGGGAACUCUGAUCCAGUGACGCCGCGUGAAGGAAGAAGGUCUUCGGAUUGUAAACUUAUUUUAUCAGGGAAGAAAGAAUGACAGUACCUGAAGAAGAAGGACCGGCUAACUACGUGUCAGCAGCCGCGGUAAUCUGAGCGGGCUGGCAAGGC
rnacentral:rRNA from 1 species